CUCGACUGGGUCGUGCCUCUUCUCGAUACGGCCCAUCAGCGACUGCUGCUGUGUUCAACGGCCCUGUGAGGAAAUGGAGGAAGAAGUGGGUCCACGUGUCCCCAUCUUCCACCGUUAGUCACCACAACUCCCACCCCCAUUCCAACGGCCACACCAAUAACAGCUCUCGUCUCCUCCUUUGUCGGUGGACUCCUCUUUCCCCCGCCGCCGCUGCCGAUGCCUCCUCCUCCGAGGAGCCUCCCAAACGCAAGUUCCGCUACACUCCGAUUGCGGUGCUAGAAGAACGGAGGAAGGCCGCCAAAAAGGUUGAUCAUGAAGCUAAGGCAGGCAGUAUCAACCAGUUCACAGAACUGCCAACCUCAAAGAACGAUGAGCAAACUAGUGACACUGCUUUGAAGACUGAAACACAGGAUUCGAGCACAAGUAAUCUGGAUUUGGGCUUGUGCUUGAAAGGCCACAAUGGUGACCAUGAUAAUAACCUUGGCCAGAGCAAAGAGGGUGAAAUGAAGAAAGCAAGCGCCGGUGGGUUUUGGACGACUAGUUGACACCCAGCAGACCCUUAAAACAGAAGAAGCUGGUUAGGUAUGCACUGGUAUGAAGUCUCAAUUGGGCGACUCAUUUUGAUGAUUAUGGCGAACGAUACAGUUUAUGUUGUAGAAGAAGCAACAUUGCUUCAUCUUGUAAUUGAUUGUAGGGCAUGUCUGCAGUUACUAGAUGAAUGUUUUAUGUCAAUUAAUGGCAUUUGUACGCAAUGGAAAACCAUCUGAUCCUAAACUGUAUCGUUCGCCAUAAUCAUCAA
rnacentral:misc_RNA from 1 species